rnacentral:lncRNA from 1 species
CAGGAGCUGCUCAGAUAUAGGAGGUGGCAGCAAGGGCUCCUGGAUGAAAGUGAAUCCACGCUGGGGCAGAGACGCACACCUCUAGUGCUAGCACACAGGCAGAGGCAGGUCUCUGCAGUUGAGGCCAGCCUGCUCUACAGAUCGGGUUCCAGCACAGCCAGGGCUACCCAGAAAAACCCUGUUUUGAAAAAUACAAAGUAGAGCCAAGCUCACUGAGACAUUGACCUCCUCUUGGGUUUGGCAUGGUGAGCAAGCACCUGUUUUUUCUGCUGCAUGCUGAGGGCAGGUGGAAGCAGUGUCUUUGGGCCUCCAACGGGGCUCCCACUCUUAACAGGCUAGAGCUGCCAGCAAAAAAGUGGCUCUGGGGGCUGGAGAGAUGGCUCAGUGGGUGGGAACACUGACUGCUCUUCCUAGAGGUCCUGAGUUCAAAUCCCAGCACCCACAUGGUGGCUUAC